GAUGAACGCUAGCGGCAGGCCUAAUACAUGCAAGUCGGACGGGAUUCAGGAGCUUGCUUCUGAUGAGAGUGGCGCACGGGUGCGUAACACGUAUGUAACCUACCUUUAUCAGGGGGAUAGCCUCUCGAAAGAGAGAUUAAGCCCGCAUAAAAUCACAGCACAGCAUUGUGUAAUGAUCAAAUAUUUAUAGGAUAAAGAUGGGCAUGCGGAACAUUAGCUAGAUGGCGGGGUAACGGCCCACCAUGGCGACGAUGUUUAGGGGAUCUGAGAGGAUGGCCCCCGACACUGGUACUGGGACACGGACCAGACUCCUACGGGAGGCAGCAGUAAGGAAUAUUGGUCAAUGGGCGGAAGCCUGAACCAGCCAUGCCGCGUGCAGGAAGACGGCCCUACGGGUUGUAAACUGCUGUUAGACGGGAAUAAACCCAGAUACGUGUAUCUGGCUGAAUGUACUGUAAGAAUAAGGAUCGGCUAACUCCGUG
rnacentral:rRNA from 1 species